UACGAAGGGGGCUAGCGUUGCUCGGAAUCACUGGGCGUAAAGGGUGCGUAGGCGGGUCUUUAAGUCAGGGGGGAAAUCCUGGAGCUCAACUCCAGAACUGCCUUUGAUACUGAGGAUCUUGAGUUCGGGAGAGGUGAGUGGAACUGCGAGUGUAGAGGUGAAAUUCGUAGAUAUUCGGAAGAACACCAGUGGCGAAGGCGACUCACUGGACAUGUAUUGACGCUGAGGUGCGAAAGCGUGGGGAGCAAACAGG
rnacentral:rRNA from 1 species